UACGAAGGGGGCGAGCGUUGUUCGGAAUUACUGGGCGUAAAGGGCGCGCAGGCGGCCCUUGAAGUCAGGCGUGAAAGCCCCGGGCUCAACCUGGGAGGUGCGCUUGAUACUCGAGGGCUUGAGUGCGGGAGAGGAGAGUGGAAUUCCCAGUGUAGAGGUGAAAUUCGUAGAUAUUGGGAAGAACACCGGUGGCGAAGGCGGCUCUCUGGACCGUAACUGACGCUGAGGCGCGGAAAGCGUGGGGAGCAAACA
rnacentral:rRNA from 1 species